rnacentral:pre_miRNA from 1 species
AUCACCUGGAGAUCUUGUUAAAAUGCAGAUUCUGAUUCAGUAGGUCUGGGGUGAACCCUGAGAUUCUGCAUCUCUAACAAGCUCCCCGGUGAUGUAGA